rnacentral:lncRNA from 1 species
GUUGGCAUGGUACCACUAGAAGAUACAAUGGCGGAGGACGUUGACCUGCCUGCAUCCUCGAUAGAGACUGAAGGAAAAGGUAUAGAUCGUCCAUCUGAGUUUCUAGAUGGCAGCUCAGUGAUGGAGGGUCCAAAAACACCUGUAGCUGACGAGGAUGCUCAGGUGAAUGCUCCUGAUGCUUGUGAGAGGGAGCCAGAAGUUGUGUCUGAAUCUGUGGAUAUGCCUCCGGUUACCUCGACCAUGGUGGAUGAUGAUGUCAAAGGUUCAUCAGAAGCAGUUCCCAUAGUCAGCUCCAAAGCACCAGAGAUGUUGGAAU